rnacentral:rRNA from 1 species
AGAAUCAACGCUGGCGGCGUGCCCAACACAUGCAAGUCGCACGAGAAAGGGACUUCGGUCCUGAGUAAAGUGGCGCACGGGUGAGUAACACGUGAAUCAUCUACCUCCGAGUGGGGAAUAACCUAGAGAAAUCUGGGCUAAUACCGCAUAACACUUACGAGUCAAAGCAGCAAUGCGCUUGGAGAGGAGUUCGCGGCAGAUUAGUUAGUUGGCGGGGUAAUGGCCCACCAAGACGAUGAUCUGUA